AACGAACGCUGGCGGCAUGCCUAACACAUGCAAGUCGAACGAGACCUUCGGGUCUUGUGGCGCCCGGGUGCGUAACGCGUGGGAACCUGCCCUUAGGUUUGGCAUAACUCCCCGACAGGGGUGCUAAUACCGGAUAGUGUCUUCGGCCCAAAGAUUUAUCGACUUUGGAUGGGCCCGCGUUGGAUUCGCUAGUUGGUAGGGUAAAAGCCUACCAAGGCGCCGAUCCAUAGCUGGUCUGAGAGGAUGAUCAGCCACACUGGGACUGAGACCCGGCCCAGACUCCUACGGGAGGCAGCAGUGGGGAAUAGUGGACAAUGGGCGAAAGCCUGAUCCAGCAAUGCCGCGUGAGUGAUGAAGGCCUUAGGGUAGUAAAGCUCUUUUACCCGGGAUGAUAAUGACAGUACCGGGAGAAUAAGCUCCGGCUAACUCCGUG
rnacentral:rRNA from 1 species